rnacentral:rRNA from 1 species
GACGAACGCUGGCGGCGUGCUUAACACAUGCAAGUCGAACGGUGAAGCUCCAGCUUGCUGGAGUGGAUCAGUGGCGAACGGGUGAGUAACACGUGAGCAACCUGCCCCUGACUCUGGAAUAAGCGCUGGAAACGGCGUCUAAUACUGGAUACGAGAAGGGUCCGCAUGGGCACUUUCUGGAAAGUUUUUCGGUUGGGGAUGGGCUCGCGGCCUAUCAGCUUGUUGGUGAGGUAAUGGCUCACCAAGGCGACGACGGGAAGCCGGCCUGAGAGGGCGACCGGCCACACUGGGACUGAGACACGGCCCAGACUCCUACGGGAGGCAGCAGUGGGGAAUAUUGCACAAUGGGCGAAAGCCUGAUGCAGCGACGCCGCGUGAGGGAUGACGGCCUUCGGGUUGUAAACCUCUUUCAGCAGGGAAGAAGCGAAAGUGACGGUACCUGCAGAAGAAGCACCGGCUAACUACGUG